UACGUAGGGGGCAAGCGUUGUCCGGAAUCAUUGGGCGUAAAGCGCGUGUAGGCGGCUCGGUAAGUCUGCUCUGAAAGCCCGGGGCUCAACCCUGGGAGGCGGGUGGAUACUGCUGAGCUCGAGUCCGGAAGAGGCGAGUGGAAUUCCUGGUGUAGCGGUGAAAUGCGCAGAUAUCAGGAGGAACACCGGUGGCGAAGGCGGGUCUCUGGGCAACAACUGACGCUGAGGAGCGAAAGCGUGGGGAGCGAACAGG
rnacentral:rRNA from 1 species